rnacentral:rRNA from 1 species
UACGAAGGGGGGCUAGCGUUGCUCGGAAUCACUGGGCGUAAAGGGUGCGUAGGCGGGUCUUUAAGUCAGGGGUGAAAUCCUGGAGCUCAACUCCAGAACUGCCUUUGAUACUGGGAAGCUUGAGUCCGGGAGAGGUGAGUGGAACUCCGAGUGUAGAGGUGAAAUUCGUAGAUAUCGGGAGGAACACCAGCGGCGAAGGGCGGCGCCUGGGUGGAGUACUGACGCUGAGGUGCGAAAG